rnacentral:rRNA from 1 species
UACGAGGGGGGCAAAUGUUGUUCGGAAUCACUGGGCGUAAAGGGCUCGUAGGCGGCCAACUAAGUCGGAUGUGAAAUCCCCAGGCUCAACCUGGGAACUGCAUCCGAUACUGGAUGGCUUGAAUUCGGGAGAGGGAUGCAGAAUUCCAGGUGUAGCGGUGAAAUGCGUAGAUAUCUGGAGGAAUACCGGUGGCGAAGGCGGCAUCCUGGACCGACAUUGACGCUGAUGAGCGAAAGCUAGGGGAGCAAACGGG